rnacentral:rRNA from 1 species
AGUUUGAUCAUGGCUCAGAACGAACGCUGGCGGCAUGCCUAACACAUGCAAGUCGAACGAAGCCUUCGGGCUUAGUGGCGCACGGGUGCGUAACACGUGGGAAUCUGCCCUUCGGUUCGGAAUAACAGUUAGAAAUGACUGCUAAUACCGGAUGAUGACGUAAGUCCAAAGAUUUAUCGCCGAAGGAUGAGCCCGCGUAGGAUUAGGUAGUUGGUAGGGUAAUGGCCUACCAAGCCGACGAUCCUUAGCUGGUCUGAGAGGAUGAUCAGCCACACUGGGACUGAGACACGGCCCAGACUCCUACGGGAGGCAGCAGUGGGGAAUAUUGGACAAUGGGCGAAAGCCUGAUCCAGCAAUGCCGCGUGAGUGAUGAAGGCCUUAGGGUUGUAAAGCUCUUUUACCAGGGAUGAUAAUGACAGUACCUGGAGAAUAAGCUCCGGCUAACUCCGUG